rnacentral:sRNA from 1 species
GCCGGGCGCGGUGGCGCACACCUGUCAUCCCAGCGGCUGGGGAGGCUGAGGCAGGAGGAUCGCGAGUUCAAAGUCAGCCUCGGCAAAAGUGAGGCCCUAAGCAUCUCAGUGAGAUCCUGUCUCUA